rnacentral:rRNA from 1 species
UACGUAGGGGGCAAGCGUUGUCCGGAAUCAUUGGGCGUAAAGCGCGCGUAGGCGGCCCGGUAAGUCCGUUGUGAAAGUCAAAGGCUCAACCUUUGAACGCCGAUGGAUACUGCCGGGCUAGAGUCCGGAAGAGGCGAGUGGAAUUCCUGGUGUAGCGGUGGAAUGCGCAGAUAUCAGGAGGAACACCAAUAGCGAAAGCAGCUCUCUGGGACGGUACUGACGCUGAGACGCGAAAGCGUGGGGAGCGAACAGG